UACGGAGGGUGCAAGCGUUAUCCGGAUUCACUGGGUUUAAAGGGUGCGUAGGCGGACAGGUAAGUCAGUGGUGAAAUCUCCGAGCUUAACUCGGAAACUGCCUUUGAUACUCUCUGUCUUGAAUAUGGCGGAGGUAAGCGGAAUAUGUCAUGUAGCGGUGAAAUGCUUAGAGAUGACAUAGAACACCUAUUGCGAAGGCAGCUUACUACGCCUAUAUUGACGCUGAGGCACGAAAGCGUGGGGAUCAAACAGG
rnacentral:rRNA from 1 species